UAGGGAAUCUUCGGCAAUGGGGGGAACCCUGACCGAGCAACGCCGCGUGAGUGAAGAAGGUUUUCGGAUCGUAAAGCUCUGUUGUUAAGGAAGAACGAGUGUGAGAAUGGAAAGUUCAUACUGUGACGGUACUUAACCAGAAAGGGACGGCUAACUACGUGCCAGCAGCCGCGGUGAUACGUAGGUCCCGAGCGUUGUCCGGAUUUAUUGGGCGUAAAGCGAGCGCAGGCGGUUAGAUAAGUCUGAAGUUAAAGGCAGUGGCUCAACCAUUGUAGGCUUUGGAAACUGUUUAACUUGAGUGCAGAAGGGGAGAGUGGAAUUCCAUGUGUAGCGGUGAAAUGCGUAGAUAUAUGGAGGAACACCGGUGGCGAAAGCGGCUCUCUGGUCUGUAACUGACGCUGAGGCUCGAAAGCGUGGGGAGCGAACAGG
rnacentral:rRNA from 1 species